UCCUACGGGGGGCAGCAGUGAGGAAUAUUGGUCAAUGGUCGGGAGACUGAACCAGCCAAGCCGCGUGAGGGAUGAAGGUACAGAGUAUCGUAAACCUCUUUUGUCAGGGAACAAAGGCGGGGACGUGUCCCCGGAUGAGUGUACCUGAAGAAAAAGCAUCGGCUAACUCCGUGCCAACAGCCGCGGUAAUACGGAGGAUGCGAGCGUUAUCCGGAUUUAUUGGGUUUAAAGGGUGCGCAGGCGGUCUGUUAAGUCAGCGGUCAAAGCCCGGGGCUCAACCCCGGCCCGCCGUUGAAACUGGCAGG
rnacentral:rRNA from 1 species